rnacentral:rRNA from 1 species
UGAGGAAUAUUGGUCAAUGGGCGAGAGCCUGAACCAGCCAAGUAGCGUGAAGGAUGACUGCCCUAUGGGUUGUAAACUUCUUUUAUAAAGGAAUAAAGUCGGGUAUGGAUACCCGUUUGCAUGUACUUUAUGAAUAAGGAUCGGCUAACUCCGUGCCAGCAGCCGCGGUAAUACGGAGGAUCCGAGCGUUAUCCGGAUUUAUUGGGUUUAAAGGGAGCGUGGAUGGAUAUUUAAGUCAGUUGUGAAAGUUUGCGGCUCAACCGUAAAAUUGCAGUUGAUACUGGAUAUCUUGAGUGCAGUUGAGGCAGGCGGAAUUCGUGGUGUAGCGGUGAAAUGCUUAGAUAUCACGAAGAACUCCGAUUGCGAAGGCAGCCUGCUAAGCUGCAACUGACAUUGAGGCUCGAAAGUGUGGGUAUCAAACAGGAUUAGAUACCCUGGUAGUCCACACGGUAAACGAUGAAUACUCGCUGUUUGCGAUAUACUGCAAGCGGCCAAGCGAAAGCGUUAAGUAUUCCACCUGGGGAGUACGCCGGCAACGGUGAAACUCAAAGGAAUUGACGGGGGCCCGCACAAGCGGAGGAACAUGUGGUUUAAUUCGAUGAUACGCGAGGAACCUUACCCGGGCUUAAAUUGCAGAUGAAUUACGGUGAAAGCCGUAAGCCGCAAGGCAUCUGUGAAGGUGCUGCAUGGUUGUCGUCAGCUCGUGCCGUGAGGUGUCGGCUUAAGUGCCAUAACGAGCGCAACCCUUGUUGUCAGUUACUAACAGGUUCCGCUGAGGACUCUGACAAGACUGCCAUCGUAAGAUGUGAGGAAGGUGGGGAUGACGUCAAAUCAGCACGGCCCUUACGUCCGGGGCUACACACGUGUUACAAUGGGGGGUACAGAGGGCCGCUACCACGCGAGUGGAUGCCAAUCCCCAAAACCUCUCUCAGUUCGGACUGGAGUCUGCAACCCGACUCCACGAAGCUGGAUUCGCUAGUAAUCGCGCAUCAGCCACGGCGCGGUGAAUACGUUCCC